rnacentral:rRNA from 1 species
UACGUAGGGGGCAAGCGUUGUCCGGAUUUAUUGGGCGUAAAGAGCUCGUAGGCGGUUGGGCAAGUCACGUGUGAAAUCUCCACGCUCAACGUGGAGGCGCCACGUGAGACUGCCCUGACUCGAGUCCGGUAGGGGAGCGUGGAAUUCCCGGUGUAGCGGUGAAAUGCGCAGAUAUUGGGAAGAACACCAGUGGCGAAGGCGGUUCUCUGGGACGGUACUGACGCUGAGACGCGAAAGCGUGGGGAGCGAACAGG